UCGAAUAAAAUUCUAGUUAAGUUAUGAUAAUGACAUUUCUUAACUAUGUGUCUUGACCAAAUCACGUGCCAGCAGUCGCGGUAAUACGUGGAAGACUAGUGUUAUUCAUCUUUAACAGGUUUAAAGGGUACCUAGACGGCAAAUCAAGCCCCAAAAGGGGACUAAUUUCUAGAGUUUAAUAAGAGAGGAGUACUGAUGGUGGAGGGAUGAAAUAUUAUGAUACCAUUAGGAACAGACAAAGGCGAAAGCGACCUUUUACAUAAAACUGACGUUGAGGGACGAAGGCUUUAGUCGUGAACAGGAUUAGAUACCCAAGUAAUUAAAGCAGACAAUGAUGAAUGUCAUAGAUUAUAAUCUAUAAAUGAAAGUGUAAGCAUUCCACCUCAAGAGUAAUGUGGCAACGCAGAAACUGAAAUCAUUAGACCGUUUCUGAAACCAGUAGUGAAGUAUGUUGUUUAAUUAGAUAAUCCGCAAAAGACCUCACCACAAUUUGUAUAAUACAAGCGUUGCACGGCUGUCUUCAGUUAAUGUCGUGAGAUUAGGUUAGUUCCAUUAAAUUAACGUAAACCCUUGCUUUAUUUAUAAAGUAGAUCACCGCUAUAUUGGAUGUGAUAAUAGGGACUAAGACAAGUCAUCAUGGCCUUAAUAUUGUGGGCUAUAGACG
rnacentral:rRNA from 1 species